GAAGAUGCUCCCUGGUUCUGUUUUUUUGCUUUUGAUGAUGAAUUUUGCUGCUGCUCAGUGUUUAGGUCCGCACUACCUUUUUGAGCUGUAACACUCACGACAAAGGUCUGUGGUUUCAUUCCUGAAGCCAACAAGACCAUGAACCCACUGCGAGGUAGGAACAACUCCGGACGUGCCAUUUUUAAGAGCUGUAACACUCCAGUGGCAAAACUCUGCAGCUUCACUUCUGAAACCAGCAAGAUCAGGAACCCACGGGGAGGAACAAAGAACUCCAGACGUGCCAUCUUUAAGAGCUGUAACACUUAACUGCAAGGGUCUGCAGCUUCCCUCCUGAAGCCAGGGAGACCAUGAAUGCACGGGGAGGAACAAACAACACUGCACGUGCCACCUUUAAGCCAUAACACCCACUGAGAAGGUCUGCGGCUUCACUCCUGAAGUCAGCAAGACCACGAACCCAGCAGCAGGCAGCAAUUCUGGACACAUCCAAACAUCUGGAAGAACAAACUCUGGACACACCAUUUUUAAGAACUGUGAUACUCAUGGGGAGGGUCCGUGGCUUCAUUCUUGAAAUCAGCAAGACCAAGAACCCACCGGAAGGAACCAAUUCCAGACCCAACAGGUCCAUGUGAGACAGUGCUCGUUUUAUUUAAUUGUAAUGUGUUCUCCUGUAUGUACUUCCUCCAGCCCUCUUCUCCUCUUCCUCCCCUGCCAAGGUUGCCGCCUUCUUUUUUCCUGAGAUGGAGUCUUGCUGUGUCGCCCAGGCUGGAGUGUAGUGGUGAAAUCUCAGAUCACUGCAACCUCUGCUUCCCGAGUUCAAGUGAUGCUCCUGCCUCAGCCUUCCCAGUAGCUGAGAUUACAGGCAUGCACCACCACACCUGGCAAAAUUUUUUUUUUUAAGCUGGAGUCUUGCUCUGUCCUCCAGGCUGGAGUGCAGUGGCGUGACGUCGGCUCACUGCAAACUCCACCUCCCAGGUUCAUGCCAUUCUCAUGCGUCAGACUCCUGAGUAGCUGGGACUACAGGUGCCCGCCACCACACCCAGCUAAUUUUUUGUAUUUUUAGUAGAGAUGAGGUUUCUCCACGUUGAUCAGGCUGGUCCGGAACUCCCAACCUCAGGUGAUCUGCCUGCCUUUUGGCCUCCCAAAGUGCUGGGAUUACAGGUGUGAGCCACCGCCCCCUGUUGUAAUUUGUGUAGUUUUAGUAGAGACGGGGGUCUCACUGUGUUGGCCAGGCUGGUCUUGAACUUGUGACCUUGUGAUCCACUUGUCUUGGUCUCCCAAAGUGCUGAGAUAAAGGUGUGAGCCACUGUACCCAGCCCAAGGCUGCCUCUUAAUGAGGCUGAUAUUUGUUCUUUAGCUGUGUGUCGAGCCUUACACAAGCACACAUGUGGCUGCGUGGCUGUGGGCCAGUGUUAUUCUGCAGCUCAUGCUGUUUCUCAUGACUCUGAGCAUCAUGAUCUAUCCCUGGAGCUGUGAGCACCCCGAAUUCACUGCUUCUCACUGGCCUAUGGAACCCCAAAAGGGGCACCCAUCACAUUCUCAUUUACGUGGUGAUGGGAAUCUAGGUGGGCUCACAGCCUAGGGGGAAGGAUGGUUUGGCUAAAGCCUGGUGAUGGCUUACACGGUGGAACAGAAGGUGGACCCCGCCUCACAUGAUUGCGAAUGUGGGUACUCAACCUGUAUCAAGAGUAAAAAGGCAACCCACAGAAUGGGAGAACAUGUCUGUAAAUUAUGUCUUAUAAGGGUCAGAUAUCCAGAAUAUAUAAAGAACUCUUACAACUCAAC
rnacentral:lncRNA from 10 species